CAGUCGAACGGAGAAUUUUAUUUCGGUAGAAUUCUUAGUGGCGAACGGGUGAGUAACGCGUAGGCAACCUGCCCUUUAGACGGGGACAACAUUCCGAAAGGAGUGCUAAUACCGGAUGUGAUCAUCUUGCCGCAUGGCAGGAUGAAGAAAGAUGGCCUCUACAAGUAAGCUAUCGCUAAAGGAUGGGCCUGCGUCUGAUUAGCUAGUUGGUAGUGUAACGGACUACCAAGGCGAUGAUCAGUAGCCGGUCUGAGAGGAUGAACGGCCACAUUGGGACUGAGACACGGCCCAAACUCCUACGGGAGGCAGCAGUGGGGAAUCUUCCGCAAUGGACGAAAGUCUGACGGAGCAACGCCGCGUGAGUGAUGAAGGAUUUCGGUCUGUAAAGCUCUGCUGUUUAUGACGAACGUGCAGUGUGUGAACAAUGCAUUGCAAUGACGGUAGUAAACGAGGAAGCCACGGCUAACUACGUGCCAGCAGCCGCGGUAAUACGUAGGUGGCGAGCGUUGUCCGGAAUUAUUGGGCGUAAAGAGCAUGUAGGCGGCUUAAUAAGUCGAGCGUGAAAAUGCGGGGCCCAACCCCGUAUGGCGCUGGAAACUGUUAGGCUUGAGUGCAGGAGAGGAAAGGGGAAUUCCCAGUGUAGCGGUGAAAUGCGUAGAUAUUGGGAGGAACACCAGUGGCGAAGGCGCCUUUCUGGACUGUGUCUGAC
rnacentral:rRNA from 1 species